CAACGCAGGGCUAAAUCCUGGAACUCCAGUCCAAGAUCAUGACCUGAGCCAAAGGCAGACACUGAACUGACUGAGCCACCCAGCUUCCCUUGACUAGUACCAUCAAUGGAGCUUUACAAAUGAAGAAAUUGAAGCCAGAAUUUUGCCUCCUCUACCCACAUAACCCAAACUUAAAGUCAGAAAUUCUAAUGCAGAUACCUUCUUUGGUUUUUGCUCUUUUAGAUGCUGUUUUGUUUUAUCAGAAAUACGAUCACCAUACUACUUAUCAAUUCAUUAAGUACUCAGUGUGCCAACUUGAAGGAAGAUCAGACUACAAGUUACAUUUAAGAGCCCUGCAUAGUGACAUAAUAUGCAAUCUCCUUGGUCCCGGAGAACCAUGAAACGUUGAACAGUCAGACAGAGGCUGCCUAACCAGAUAGACGGCUCACCCGGGGAUCCCACAAGCACAUCUCAGCCCAGGAUCGGAAAGGAGUCUCCAGGGCGCACCUGCCCAGAGGGCGGCCGCGCUGCAGCUAAGCGGCAAUCACAUCCCCCGCCAGGGGCUGCGCGGACGCGGAGCCCUGCAACCCGAGCCGGGCACGGCCCCGCCGGGCGGUACCCGAGGGCACUCCGCGGGUUUGCUCGAGCCCGGGCGGACCGCGCCUCUCACCCACCUUCCCCGCGGGCGCCUCCAACUCGCCAGGUGUCUGCGCGCGCGGCCCGCCCCGCCCCCGCUCCCAGGCCGAG
rnacentral:lncRNA from 12 species